rnacentral:rRNA from 1 species
UACAGAGGGUGCGAGCGUUGUUCGGAAUUACUGGGCGUAAAGCGCGCGCAGGCGGUGCUUUAAGUCUGUCGGUCAAAUGCCGGGGCUCAACCCCGAGCGUGCCGCGGAUACUGGAGCACUGGAGACGAGUAGAGGCAAGCGGAAUUCCGGGUGUAGCGGUGGAAUGCGUAGAGAUCCGGAAGAACACCGGAGGCGAAGGCGGCUUGCUGGGCUCGGUCUGACGCUGAGGCGGCGAAAGCGGUGGGGAGCGAACAGG